AGCAGUCGCCACGGGAAAACGUAGGUGGCAAGCGUUGUCCGGAAUUAUUGGGCGUAAAGCGCGCGCAGGCGGAUAGGUCAGUCUGUCUUAAAAGUUCGGGGCUUAACCCCGUGAUGGGAUGGAAACUGCCAAUCUAGAGUAUCGGAGAGGAAAGUGGAAUUCCUAGUGUAGCGGUGAAAUGCGUAGAUAUUAGGAAGAACACCAGUGGCGAAGGCGACUUUCUGGACGAAAACUGACGCUGAGGCGCGAAAGCCAGGGGAGCGAACGGGAUUAGAUACCCCAGUAGUCCCUGUCUCUUAUACC
rnacentral:rRNA from 1 species